CCUACGGGAGGCAGCAGUGGGGAAUAUUGGACAAUGGGCGAAAGCCUGAUCCAGCAAUGCCGCGUGAGUGAUGAAGGCCUUCGGGUCGUAAAGCUCUUUUACCAGGGAUGAUAAUGACAGUACCUGGAGAAUAAGCUCCGGCUAACUCCGUGCCAGCAGCCGCGGUAAUACGGAGGGAGCUAGCGUUGUUCGGAAUUACUGGGCGUAAAGAGUACGUAGGCGGUUAUUCAAGUCAGAGGUGAAAGCCCGGGGCUCAACCCCGGAACUGCCUUUGAAACUAGAUAACUAGAGUCUUGGAGAGGUUAGUGGAAUUCCGAGUGUAGAGGUGAAAUUCGUAGAUAUUCGGAAGAACACCAGUGGCGAAGGCGACUAACUGGACAAGUACUGACGCUGAGGUACGAAAGCGUGGGGAGCAAACAGGAUUAGAUACCCUGGUAGUCCACGCCGUAAACGAUGAUAACUAGUUGUUCGGUCACUUGGUGACUGAGUGACGCAGCUAACGCAUUAAGUUAUCCGCCUGGGGAGUACGGUCGCAAGAUUAAACUUAAAGAUAUAGACGUNGAGNGCGACGACGACGACGACGAGGAGAG
rnacentral:rRNA from 1 species